rnacentral:rRNA from 1 species
GACGAACUCUGGCGGCGUGCUUAACACAUGCAAGUCGAACGGAAAGGCCCUGCUUUUGUGGGGUGCUCGAGUGGCGAACGGGUGAGUAACACGUGAGUAACCUGCCCUUGACUUUGGGAUAACUUCAGGAAACUGGGGCUAAUACCGGAUAGGAGCUCCUGCUGCAUGGUGGGGGUUGGAAAGUUUCGGCGGUUGGGGAUGGACUCGCGGCUUAUCAGCUUGUUGGUGGGGUAGUGGCUUACCAAGGCUUUGACGGGUAGCCGGCCUGAGAGGGUGACCGGCCACAUUGGGACUGAGAUACGGCCCAGACUCCUACGGGAGGCAGCAGUGGGGAAUAUUGCACAAUGGGCGGAAGCCUGAUGCAGCAACGCCGCGUGCGGGAUGACGGCCUUCGGGUUGUAAACCGCUUUCGCCUGUGACGAAGCGUGAGUGACGGUAAUGGGUAAAGAAGCACCGGCUAACUACGUGCCAGCAGCCGCGGUGAUACGUAGGGUGCGAGCGUUGUCCGGAUUUAUUGGGCGUAAAGGGCUCGUAGGUGGUUGAUCGCGUCGGAAGUGUAAUCUUGGGGCUUAACCCUGAGCGUGCUUUCGAUACGGGUUGACUUGAGGAAAGUAAGGGAGAAUGGAAUUCCUGGUGGAGCGGUGGAAUGCGCAGAUAUCAGGAGGAACACCAGUGGCGAAGGCGGUUCUCUGGGCCUUUCCUGACGCUGAGGAGCGAAAGCGUGGGGAGCGAACAGGCUUAGAUACCCUGGUAGUCCACGCUGUAAACGGUGGGUACUAGGUGUGGGGUCCAUUCCACGGGUUCCGUGCCGUAGCUAACGCUUUAAGUACCCCGCCUGGGGAGUACGGCCGCAAGGCUAAAACUCGAAGGAAUUGACGGGGCCCCGCACAAGCGGCGGAGCAUGCGGAUUAAUUCGAUGCAACGCGUAGAACCUUACCUGGGUUUGACAUGGAUCGGGAGUGCUCAGAGAUGGGUGUGCCUCUUUUGGGGUCGGUUCACAGGUGGUGCAUGCCUGUCGUCAGCUCGUGUCGUGAGAUGUUGGGUUAAGUCCCGCAACGAGCGCAACCCUUGUUCACUGUUGCCAGCACGUUAUGGUGGGGACUCAGUGGAGACCGCCGGGGUCAACUCGGAGGAAGGUGGGGAUGACGUCAAGUCCUCAUGCCCCUUAUGUCCAGGGCUUCACGCAUGCUACAAUGGCUGGUACAGAGAGUGGCGAGCCUGUGAGGGUGAGCGAAUCUCGGAAAGCCGGUCUCAGUUCGGAUUGGGGUCUGCAACUCGACCUCAUGAAGUCGGAGUCGCUAGUAAUCGCAGAUCAGCAACGCUGCGGUGAAUACGUUCCCGGG